GGAAGGGCAAGAAGUAAGGGAAAAGGGAGAAUGAAAGAGGAGGGUGGAAGAGGAAAGGAGAAAAGGGAAGGGAGCAGACGGUCGAAACGGAGUUGUUGGUUAAAUAGAAAGUGAAGAAGAAGCAAG
rnacentral:ribozyme from 1 species